rnacentral:lncRNA from 1 species
CAGUUUCCGCGCAGCCGACAACGGUUGGACCCCGUCCCUCCGGCUUCACUGGGCACCGUGGGGGCAGAACCCGGCGGCGGCUUGGGGUGGGGGCGGGACCACGAUGGAGGGAGUCUGUUGGGCGGGACCUCGAAAUGCCUCUGCUCGCUUUCCUCUGCAUUCAUGCGGCUUGUACGAGGAUGCGCUGUUUCCUGGUGGUUUGUUAUACGGCAGUAGAUAACUGAUACAUCUCUCUUCACUACUUUGUUUGCGUUUUUAUAGGUCAGGGUCUUCCUCUGUCGCACAGGCUGGAGUGCAGUGGCUCGAUCACGGCUCACGGAAACCUCCAAUCCCUGGGCUCAAGCGAUCUUCCCUCAAAUUCAACAGUAGCUGGAACUACAGGCUCGUGACACCACAGCAGGCUAAUUUUUAAAUUUUUCGUGGAGAUGGGAGGUCACACUAUAUUGCCCAGGCUGGUCGCGAACUCCUGAGCUCAAGCGAUCUUCCCUCUUUGGCGUCCCAAAGAGCUGAGAUUGCAGGAGUUAACCUCACCGAAAGAUACAACCGAUUUAAGAAGAAAAUGUUAAAACUCUCUUCAAGGGCCUAUAGAAGAAACGGGAUGAAUGGAAACGUGAUUCACUCUGUGGACUGGCAGAUACCUCUGGAAAUCUGGUGUUCUAUUGUAAUAAGUUCUCGGGAAGGUAGAGACUUUUAUUUGGGACAUAGAGGCUUGGCCAACCAGAAUGGAGGACCCACCCAAGUCCCGCCCCCAAGCCUGAGCCCUCUCCUUUGCUCCACCCACUCUGCCUGAAGUCCCCUCAACCCCUCCGACUUCGCAGUCUCCCAGCCCGGCCUUCUGGGGCUGGUCUUCAUUGGAAGCCACGCCCCCAGGUCUGUCGGAUAAACAUUUUACAACCUAUUCUCUCUGAAGUCUAGUACCUGGAGGCUUCCUCUGGAAAUAAGAACUUGGGUCUCCCGCCUGGCCAACAUGACGAAACCCCGUCUCUACUAGAAAUACAAAAAUUAGCCGGUCGUGGUGGCACACACCUGUAAUCCUAGCUACUCAGGAGGCUGCGGCAGGAGAAUUGCUGGAACCCGGUAGGCGCAGGUUACAGUGAGCUGAGGUCGUGCCACUGCACUCCAGCCUGGGCGACAGAGCGAGACUGCGUCUCCGAAAAAAAAAAAAAAAAAAAUUAGCCGGGCAUGGUGGCGGGCGCCUGUAAUCCCAGCUAUUCUGGUGGCUGAGCCAGGAGAAUCGCUUGAACCCGGGAGGUGGAGGUUGCAGUGAGCCGAGAUGGUGCCAUUGCACUCCAGGCUGGGCAACAAGAGCGAGACUCCAUCUCAAAAAAGAAAAAAGAAAAAAAAAAAAAAGAACUUGGGUCUCCACAACCUCAAGCCUCCUCUCAAAAAAAGAAAAAAAGUUUUAAUCUCCCUAUAAGCUGGAAUCCCCACUCCCACCCCAC